ACUUCUGUAGCUCAGUUGGUUACAGCGCUGCACCGGAAUCGCAGGACAGUAGGUUCAAUUCCUACCAGAGGAC
rnacentral:tRNA from 1 species